rnacentral:rRNA from 1 species
CCGGUUGAUCCUGCCGGAGGUUACUGCUAUCGAGGUUCGACUAAGCCAUGCGAGUCGAAUGUAGCAAUACAUGGCGAACUGCUCAGUAACACGUGGACAACCUGCCCUUAGGACGGGGAUAAACCCGGGAAACUGGGUAUAAUACCCGAUAGGUCUCGAUUGCUGGAAUGCAUCGAGAUUUAAAGCUCCGGCGCCUAAGGAUGGGUCUGCGGCCUAUCAGGUAGUAGUGGGUGUAGCGUACCUACUAGCCUACGACGGGUACGGGUUGUGAGAGCAAGAGCCCGGAGAUGGAUUCUGAGACACGAAUCCAGGCCCUACGGGGUGCAGCAGGCGCGAAAACUUUACAAUGCUGGCAACAGCGAUAAGGGAACCUCGAGUGCCAGGUUACAAAUCUGGCUGUCGAGAUGCCUAAAAAGCAUUUCAUAGCAAGGGCCGGGCAAGACCGGUGCCAGCCGCCGCGGUAACACCGGCGGCUCGAGUGGUAACCGUUAUUAUUGGGUCUAAAGGGUCUGUAGCCGGCCGGAUAAGUCUCUUGAGAAAUCUGGCAGCUUAA